rnacentral:rRNA from 1 species
CCUACGGGUGGCUGCAGUGGGGGAUAUUGCACAAUGGGCGCAAGCCUGAUCCAGCGACGCCGCGUGAGGGAAGACGGUCCUCGGAUUGUAAACCUUUGUCUUUGGGGAAGAAGAUGACGGUACCCAAAGAGGAAGCUCCGGCUAACUACGUGCCAGCAGCCGCGGUAAUACGUAGGGAGCGAGCGUUGUCCGGAAUUACUGGGUGUAAAGGGUGCGUAGGCGGGGGAGCAAGUUGGAUGUUAAAACUAUCGGCUCAACCGGUAAUUGCAACCAAAACUGGAAUUCUUGAGUGAGGUAGAGGCAGGCGGAAUUCCUAGUGUAGCGGUGAAAUGCAUAGAUAUUAGGAAGAACACCAGUGGCGAAGGCAGCCUACUGGGCUUUAACUGACGCUGAGGCUCGAAAGCGUGGGGAGCGAACAGGAUUAGAUACCCGUGUAGUC